rnacentral:misc_RNA from 1 species
GAUGAAGAACGUAGCGAAAUGCGAUACGUAGUGUGAAUUGCAGAAUUCCGCGAAUCAUCGAGUCUUUGAACGCAAGUUGCGCCCGAAGCCAUUAGGCCGAGGGCACGCCUGCCUGGGCGUCACACGUCGUUGCCCCCCCAUCUACUCCUUCGGGAUUGCGGGGGGGGGAUGAUGGCCUCCCGUGCGCCUCGUCGCGCGGUUGGCAUAAAUGCCAAGUCCUCGGCGACGCACGCCACGACAAUCGGUGGUUGCGAAACCUCGGUUGCCCGUCGUGUGCGGUCGUCGCGCAUCGAGGGCUCGAAAAAAUUGCCGGGCUCCGGCUCGGCUUUCAACGCGACCCCAGGUCAGGCGGGGUUACCCGCUGAAUUUAAGCAUAUCAAUAAGCGGAGGA